AAAAUAUACUGGCUUUCAAAUACAUGUACUCCAUUUGCACAUUAUUGUAAUGCUCAUUCACUCCUUUCAAAGUUUUUCGGGAUUUUGAAUGGGUAAUUGGAUAAGAGAUGUUGAAGGUAUUUUUGUACAAAAAAGGGAUGAAGAUACCAGUCAAACUCAUAAAUCGAAAAUAAAUUGACAACGCCAUGAAAAUGAAAAAGGCAAACAAACAAAAUAUAGUACACAUGUCACAACACAGAAAACUAAAAAAUAAGCAACAAAAACCCCACCAAAAACUAGGGGUGAUCUCAGGUGCUUCGGAAGGUAAGCAGAUCCUGCUCUACAUGUGGCACCCGUCGUAUUGUUUUUGUACAGGUAGCACUCCACAG
rnacentral:lncRNA from 1 species